rnacentral:rRNA from 1 species
ACUUUUAGCAAUGGAUCUCUAGGCUCUCAUAUCGAUGAAGAACACAGUGAAAUGUGAUAAUUAAUGUGAAUUGCAGAAUUCAGUGAAUCAUCAAGUUUUUGAACGCACCUUGCACCUUUUGGUAUUCCAAAAGGUACACCUGUGAGUGUCAU